CUCUGACGUCAGGCGUCUUGGAGCGGGAUAUUUAUGGCAAGGAUACUCUGAAUUUUCCCUAGAAGGUGCUUCAAGAAAUGGCCUGGUUAAACGAUAAUCCUUCCAGAGAAAAAGAGCAAAACGCACUGUCCUUCAUGGUUCCCAAGGAUUGGACAACAAACUGACAAUGAUAUACAUUGCUUACAGGAUACAAAUUGCUUACACGGUCAGGUAACGUGUGUGUUUAGUAUUCAAUUCCCCUUUAAGGAGGGGGGCAUGGAUUACCCACAAAUCAUCAUUAAAACACAACUAGAGUGACCUUUCCAUCGGUCCAAACAGGGUAGGAGUUACAGUGCAGCAGGGACUCCAAGGCUGAGAAUGUGUUUACACCUUUGGUUAGGGCUGGUUGCCAGAAGGAGCCCAGUCUUGGGGCCUCCUGGAGGAGACAGACACGUUGUUUUGAUCCAAGCCUCAGAGGGCCCCAGUGCCCUGCCGCCUGGGGGGGCAUCAUACCCCACUUCCACCUCCCUCCAUCCCCUCUCGUGUCAGGGCUCCACUGGCAAGAUGAAGGAGACAGUACAAAUUGGCUUUUAGAAACCAUUGACAAAUCCCUUCUCCUUUGCCUUCCAACUAAAGAAACUAGAAAUUACAAUAUUUACCAUUCUAGACUCCCUCAUAGGUCAAGAUAGCUAUGAGACUCGGUUCUGACCAGUGAGGUUGAAAUACAACGGCAGAGGACACAGCUUCCACAAAAACUCUUUAAGAAAAGGUCAGAUUCAGAUGGCACUCUUUCAACAUUCCCUCUUCCUUCUCCCACUUCUCUCCUGGAGCGCACAGCGUCCACCUUGCCACCUUGGGAACAAAAGCUGCUAAUUUAAGGGUGGUGGAGCAAGGAGGCAGAAGGGACCCUGGUCCUGGAUACCAUCCAGAAGAGGCUGUAUCUCCUUCUGACUUCCUGAUACAGGAUGCAGCUGUCAUCAGACCUUGGACUGGUGCCUUGACCUUGGAUUUUCCAGCCUCCAGAACAUGAGAAAAUAAAUUUCUGUUCUUAAUAAAUUACCUAGUCUUAGGUAUAGCCAUGUGCCACAUAGUGACAUUUCAGUAAACAAUAGACUAUAUAUCCAACAGUGGUCCCAUAAGUUUAUAAUACUAUAUUUUCAUUGUACCUCUUCUAUGUUUAAACAUGUUUAAAUACACAAACACCAUUGUGUUUCAGUUGCUUAUAGUAUUCAGUCCAAUCAAAUGUCAUGAAAGUUUGUGACCUGAAAGCAACAGGCUAUAUACUAUACAGCCCAGGUGUGUAGUAAACCACACCAUCUGGGUUUGUGAGUGUAGACUCUUUGAUGUUCUAAAAUAGCAAAGUCACCUAAUGAUGCAUUUUUCAGAAUGUAUCCCUGUGAUAGCAACACAAAUGGACUAAGACUAUGAGCGUGUAUGUGUGUUGGCUUGUUUUAUGGCCUAUUAUAUGGUUUUUCCUGAAGAAUGUUUCAACUGUGCUUGAAAAUCACAUGUAUUUUGCAGCCAUUGGGUGACUACUUUAUCGUUAAGAAAUAUAUUCCUUGUCUCUAAUACUAGUGCUUGUCUAACACACCUGGAAUUUUCUCCAGAAAGAGAAAAACAUAAUGCACUAGACCAUAAAACAAAUCUCAAUAAAUUUAAAAAGAUUUAACUCAUACAAGGUAUGGCAUCUGACCAGAAAAGAAUUAAACUACAAAACAACAACAAAAAGAAAUUUGAGAAUCCUCAAAUAUUUGUAAAUAAGCAAUAUGCUUUUAAAUAUUCAUAGGUUAGAAGACUCAAAUUGACCUAUAGAUUCAGUUCAUUCUCUUUAA